rnacentral:rRNA from 1 species
UACGUAGGGGGCUAGCGUUGUCCGGAAUCAUUGGGCGUAAAGCGCGUGUAGGCGGCCCGAUAAGUCCGCUGUGAAAGUCGGGGGCUCAACCCUCGGAUGCCGGUGGAUACUGUCGGGCUUGAGUACGGAAGAGGCGAGUGGAAUUCCUGGUGUAGCGGUGAAAUGCGCAGAUAUCAGGAGGAACACCAAUUGCGAAGGCAGCUCGCUGGGACGUGACUGACGCUGAGACGCGAAAGCGUGGGGAGCAAACAGG